GUGGAUGCCUUGGCGUGCACAGGCGAUGAAGGACGUAAUACGCUGCGAUAAGCGUCGGGGAGCUGCGAAUAAGCUUUGAUCCGAUGAUUUCCGAAUGGGGAAACCCGACCAUUUAGGUCACCCGCAAGGGAGCUAACCUGGGGAACUGAAACAUCUAAGUACCCAGAGGAAAGGACAUCAACCGAGACUCCGUUAGUAGUGGCGAGCGAACGCGGACCAGCCGAGCCUUGAGCGUGACCAGAACCGGAUGGAAAGCCGGGCCGGAGCGGGUGACAGCCCCGUAUGGGAAGCGUGAUGGGACGUAUCAAGUAGGGCGGGACACGUGAAAUCCUGUCUGAAGAUCGGGGGACCACCCUCGAAGGCUAAGUACUCCUUGCUGACCGAUAGCGAACCAGUACCGUGAGGGAAAGGUGAAAAGCACCCCGAUGAGGGGAGUGAAACAGUUCCUGAAACCGGACGCCUACAAGCAGUCGGAGCCUCCUUGAGGGGUGACGGCGUACCUUUUGUAUAAUGGGUCAUCGACUUGGUCUCACGAGCGAGCUUAAGCCGGUAGGUGGAGGCGGAGCGAAAGCGAGUCUUAAUAGGGCGUUUUAGUUCGUGGGAUCAGACCCGAAACCGAGUGAUCUAGCCAUGGCCAGGUUGAAGGCUGGGUAACACCAGCUGGAGGACCGAACCCACACCUGUUGAAAAAGGUCGGGAUGAGCUGUGGCUAGGGGUGAAAGGCUAAUCAAACUCGGUGAUAGCUGGUUCUCCCCGAAAGCUAUUUAGGUAGCGCCUCGGACG
rnacentral:rRNA from 15 species